rnacentral:lncRNA from 1 species
ACCUACUCUGCCAUGCUGUUGCUCUGUCUCAGAAGAAACGAAGCCCUGCUACCUCCAGGCCUUCUUCUCUGGGCCACUUCCCCAGUUCCUGCUCUGAGGCUCCUUCCUGCUGUGUUCCGUCAGCCUGUCAGACCACUCUGGUUUCCUCACAGUGAGCCUGCUCCCCGGGCCGGAUCCUGAUGAAGUGAAUAAUCUACAAAGGCUGGCUCCUUGAAGCCUGAGGAUUUUCCUCAGCAACAAGAAAUUAGGGGUUUAAAAAGAAAUGUUACUUGUGUG